rnacentral:rRNA from 1 species
AUCAUUAUUAUUAUUUUUUUAAUAAUUUUUUUUAAUUAAAUUUAUUAUUUUUUAGUAUAAAUUAGAAAUAAUUAAUUUUAAUUUACUGUUAAGGUUUAUUUAUAUUGUGUAAGUAGUAUUUAUAGUACCUUUUGUAUCAGGGUUAAUUUAUUUAUUAAUAUAUUUUUAACAUCCCGAAUUAAGGUUAUUUAAAUUUAAAUUUUUUUUAUAUGUUUUAUAUUAUUAAUUAAUUUAAUUUUAGUAGUUAUAAGUUAAUCGUCCCUUAAAUAUAUCUGGUUUUAUAGGAAUUAAAUUUAAUUUAAGUUUAUUUUUUAAACUUAUAUAAUUGGGGAUAAUCUCUAUUUUUUGUUAAAAUUUUUUGUUAUUUAUUUUUUAUAUCAUUAAUAUCUUUGAAUUUAGUUCGUAAUAGAUUUAAAUUUAUUAUUUAUAAUUUUUUACUUAUUUAAUUUUAUACUAUAAUUUUUUAAUUAAUUUUUUUUUACUUUUAUUUAUGAUUAUAUUAGUAUAAUUUAUAUCUACUUAUAAAUGAAUUCGACAAAUUUAAUUUUCAACUGUUUAUCAAAAACAUUUCUUUAAGAUAUUAUUUAAAGUAGGUUCUGCCCUAUGAUCAAAAUUUAAAUGGCUGCAGUAUUUUGACUGUGCAAAGGUAGCAUAAUAAUUAGUUUCUUAAUUAGGGACUUGUAUGAAUGAAUUAAUGAAAAAUUUAUUUUAUUAUAUUUAUUAUUAUAAUUUAACUUUUGAGUUAAAAUGCUCAAUUUUAUAAUUGGGACGAUAAGACCCUAUAGAACUUAAAAUUUAUAAUUUAUUUAUUAGUUAAUUUAGUUUUUUUUAUUAAAAUAAUUAUUUAUUUUUUGCUGGGGUGGUAGAUAUAAUUUUAACUUUAUUUUUUUUUUUCAUUAAUUUAUGUUUUUUUGAUCCGUAAGUUUGCGAUAAUAAGAUUAAGUUACCUUAGGGAUAACAGCGUAAUUUUAAUAGGAAAGUUCAUAUUUAUAUUAAUGUUUGCGACCUCGAUGUUGAAUUAAGAUUAGAUUAAGGGGUAGGUUCUUUAAUAUUAGGUCUGUUCGACCUUUAAAUUCUUACAUGAUUUGAGUUCAAACCGGUGUAAGCCAGGUUGGUUUCUAUCUGAUUUUUAUUAAAUCUUUUUAGUACGAAAGGACCAUUAGAUUCUAUCUUAUAGUAUAAUUAGAAUUUUAUU